rnacentral:lncRNA from 1 species
CCCCCCCAAAUCUGUCUCCUCUCACAACCCCAGCUAACCCUAGAGAUCGGUCCAUCUCCGCCGUCUACCGCCACGAACAGCCUGCCAGAAAUCGCCUCCGCCGGCGGCGAUCGUUCAAAGCCCCCCAUUUUUGCACCAUGUGACCUCCUCACCUCCCUUAUAACAAAUCCAACACCAGCUACCCUCGACUCCCACUGGAAUCGCUCAAAUCCUCAAAACCCUAGCCGCCGACAUGGACUCCUCCGUUGUAGCCGGUGGCGCCACCACCCAAACACUACCAAACCAACACCAUAGGUCCUCCUAGACCUCCUCAUCAUCAAUACCCACGUAGUUUCCCUCGAAUCCAUGUCGAACGUAUCAAAUAUUGAAUAAAAUAUUUUGGCAAAACCCUACCACAACCAACCAGCCCCAAACCAACACUUUAUAACCUUCUUAACCCUCUCAUCUCAAAUCCGUACUCAACCUCACCCAAACACCUCCACAACUGCUCAAAAUUCAAAUCUAGGGUUUUUCGAAAUUUUCCCAAACUAUGCAUGAAGAGUUCCACUCAAAGUUCAGGGUUCGAUUCGAAGGAUUAAGCUAAACUUUCAAGCUUACUCUUCUAAUUUCACUCUGCCUCAUCUUGUUUAUGUUAAUUUAUUUUUAUGAGUUUAUUUAGGUUUAAUUUGAAGUUGUAUCGGUCUUAUUUUGUUAAUAUCUGAGUUCAAAUUAGGUUUAAUUUGUAUUAGUUGAGUUUGUUUUAGCCUGUUGGUUCGAGUUUACAUGUUAAAUAGCUGAGCUUAAUUAGUUUUCUUUUCUGUUGAGUAGAUUUCUAUGUGUAAUUCCUGAGUUUAAAUUAGGUCCAAUAGUAUUAGUCUUGUCUAUUGUUCAAUUUAGGCUUUAGAUUGUUUAUGAUUAAUGCUUAGCUUAAUAUUGAUAAGUCUUGUGAUUGAAUCUAUUUGUGUGAGUAUUGCAUGUCUGAUUAAUUUUGCUUAGAAUUAUUUGAUUCAUUUUGAACCCAGUAGUUUGAUCAGAAUUAGAGGGUAAAUACAGGAUAAUUGGGGGGGUAAUUUUGGUAGAUCACUUAAGGAAUACUAAAGACUUUUAAGCAAAAAGCUGAAAUUAAAAAGGACUAAAAGCUAAAACUAAAAUCUGAAGCCUACCCUAAUUCAUUGCCCAUAAAGGCAUACCGUUCUUGCCUUGCAAGACAAGUUUUGAAGGUCGGAGCCUAAAGUUGGGAGAGCCAAAAAUUUUUAGUCUGCAAAUUUCCUGAGAGAUUAGAGAUCCUGAAAAAUCAAAAAAACAAAUAGUGAAAAUCUUGCAAAAAAUAUUGUUCUACAAAAGUCUCCUAAGGUUUUCAUCUUCAAAACAAUUCUUGAAUAUUCAGGAGUUGAAAUGAGUUGGAUGAUGUUGGUAGUCAAGUAUCUAGGCCAGUUUUUGGUUGGUGUUUGAUUGCUGGGGUUGUUUAACUUUGUUACUGGUUAAAAAUUGUUCCAAAAUUGAUUUCCUUCAUUCAUUUCUGGGUUGACACAUUGCUGCUGUUGAAUUCUGUUGUUUGAUUUACUAUUACUGUUACCUAAGCUCAUAAGCUUCCUUGUUAAAUGUUGUAAUCAGGUAUUUUCCUUAGCUCAUGCUUGAAGAUUGCUCUCUUAACAUGUAAAGGACCUAAAGUUCCUGUUGAAUGAAGAUGACAUUGGAAGCUGAAUUCAUUUUUUUUACUCUUUUCAUAUUCCUAUUGAGAUUUAGAAUUAUAAAUGUUGAUUAGGUUUCCUUGUUACUGUAUAUGUUUAGGAGACUGUUAUAGAGUACCUUUUAUGUGUAUUGAUGAACCGGACUGUUGAACUGUGUUAUUCGUUUAUUUUAGCUCUAAUAGUAUAGGUUAGUGUUCUUUGUUUUCUGCAAUCCCAGUUAGUCUCCAUAGCUAAUGACUGUUAUAUAUUUUCCCUUUUAAAUUGUUGAACCUAGUUUUUUAGCUAUCAUGUGUGUUAAAUCUUCAUCACUUAUGUAUUUCUUAGCUAGAUACAAAUCCAUGGUAAGCAUAAUAGUUCAGGACUAUUAGGACUUCAAAAAUGAAUUGUCUGAUUAGCUCCAUAUAGGGUCGAGUAUAGAAAUACAGCCUUUACUCAUGAGCAUGUUAACUGAUUUUAAUGUUGAUUGGUCACGUAAAAAAUCCUAGAAGGCUUAGCUUUGCUAUCACAUGCACAUAUAGGCUUAUUGG